UUAAAUAUUAUAUAGUACUCAGACAUCACUAAACACAGAGUUUGGGGUCUCUGGCAAGCACUAAUCAGCCGAAGCCGACGCCCGAAGGCGGCCUGCCAAAGCAACAAAGGUAUGUAAACACGGUUUUGGGAAUAGAACCCCAUUUUUAUUAAAAAAAGCGGGGCGUUUUCUUUUUCUUUAAUGAUCCUUCCGCAGGUUCACCUACGGAAA
rnacentral:misc_RNA from 1 species